CCCUUAGGUCUCUAGCCAGUCACCUCGCCACGUGGCGCCGCCCCUCGCGCUCUUUCCUCGUCGGCUCUGCAGCCAGUCGGGACCUAGCAGGUCAUGUCACUGUCCUCAGCUGCAAGAGAUGAGUGUUUUUUAUUUGGAUGUCACCACUUCUAUCAACAAGGAAGAAGCCGGUAAUGGAUAGCAAUUGUUCCCUCUAUCAUGUGGGAUACUAGAUUCUGGGAAUCAGCUGGGAUCUGGUGCCACGACCCAAUGAACAUUAAUAUUACACACCCUGGACCAGAGGGACCCUCAGAAGUGAGAAACUGAAGAAUUUCAGAUGUCUCAAGUGACUUCACAUGGCACAGAGGGAAGGAAACCAAUUCCGAGGAUACUUGCCCGCCUGUAUCAUUAGUGCAACUUAUUUAAGCAGCUUUGUCCAUGGCUGAACAUCCCUCCAGGUGAUUCCCACCACUUUCGCAUGCAAAUGAUCCCUCAAUGCAUUGUCGAUCAGAAAAAUGAUUAACAUUUUAUAGAUGGUGUGGCA